GGGCCUAAUUGUCUAACGGAGUUCAUUGAUCGUAAAGUUCAUACGAUCGGCUACGAUCAACGAUCAAUCGUAACUUUACAUUGGUAUUGUCUAAUUUAGUUCAUUAUAUGAAGACCGGAUGGUGAACGAUGAACUGAAAUCAUUCAUGAAGAUUGCGUAUUGUUUAUGCAAAACGAUAGUGAAACUAUCGUUAAUAAUAUUAUCAAAUUUAAGUCAAACUCCAUAAUAAUGCAUAUAUUUUAACAAAGUUUUAUGUCUUUUGUUUAAAACAUUAAAGAAGAAUUAAAUUUCACGAAAAAUAUCUACUAUUGAAGAAAAUAGCGUGAGAAAAUGGUACAUGCAACUUAAGUAACAAAACGCAAUUAACGAAUUUAACCAAGGGCUAUUUGGACUAUUUGGUAAUCUCCCUGUUGUCUGUGUAGGCUAGUGUCAAAAUAACGGGGUAUCCUAUUAGUCUGUGGUGAAACAUAGCAUAUUAAUAACCUGUGGAUUGGAAAUUUUAAUUUAUCAAAACAAAACAAAAUUUUUAUUUUUCAGGUUUUAAAGAGAAUUUAGAAAUUGAGCAAAGUUUUACUAAAUUAUAGUGAUCUUAGGAGCAAAGUUUACUUCGUUUGUGUUAUUGUUAAUCAAAAAUAUAAAAGUAAACAAAAAAGAAAACUACCUCUAUCUAAUUUUGUCGAUGUCCAUUUCUUAUGAAGUUUCUCAUUAAAACAACCCUUAACUCAGGCAAGGCAGGGCUAAGGUGGUUAGCGUAACUACAAGUGGUUAACUUACAGUUAGCUAACUGAAGAACAAUCAACAAUGCCCGAUUAAUAAGUGAUCGCGCUGCUUGUCUACUACAUGUCCCUGCUGCUAGUUAUAUCAGUAAUUUCUUUGUUGGGAAGUAUUUAGCACAUCCGGGCUGCGCAAAAGGAGAGGACUAAAUUGAUUAUUAUGAACAGACCAUUAUGAUGAUCCACUGAUAUUGACUCAAAGACAUGAAGAUGAGUGCUUUGACAACAAGACUGACUAGCUGAGCCAGUUUAAGAAAAAUGUGGUGUUUGUGUGUGUCUAAUUCCAGGAGCUCUCUAUGUCAGCCAUCCAUCUAUAUUCUUACUCAUUUUUGUUAAUUAUAAAAUAUAUUUGAUUA